CUACGGGAGGCAGCAGUGAGGAAUAUUGCACAAUGGGGGAAACCCUGAUGCAGCAACGCCGCGUGGAGGAUGACGCAUUUCGGUGUGUAAACUCCUUUUAUCAGAGAAGAAAAUGACGGUAUCUGAUGAAUAAGCUCCGGCUAACUCCGUGCCAGCAGCCGCGGUAAUACGGAGGGAGCAAGCGUUAUUCGGAAUCACUGGGCGUAAAGGACGCGUAGGCGGGUUUUUAAGUCAGGUGUGAAAUCCUAUGGCUCAACCAUAGAACUGCACUUGAAACUGGGGACCUAGAGUAUGGAAGGGGCAGGUGGAAUUAGUGGUGUAGGGGUAAAAUCCGUAGAUAUCACUAGGAAUACCGAAAGCGAAGGCGACCUGCUGGGACAUUAUUGACGCUGAGGCGUGAAAGCGUGGGGAGCAAACAGGAUUAGAUACCCGUGUAGUC
rnacentral:rRNA from 1 species